rnacentral:rRNA from 1 species
GACGAACGCUGGCGGCGUGCUUAACACAUGCAAGUCGAACGGUGAAGCGCCUUCCUUUUUGGUGGGUGUGGAUGAGUGGCGAACGGGUGAGUAACACGUGAGUAACCUGCCCCCUUCUUCUGGAUAACCGCAUGAAAGUGUGGCUAAUACGGGAUAUUCUGGGUCUGUCGCAUGAUGGGUCUGGGAAAGAUAUUGUUUCGGUGGGGGAUGGGCUCGCGGCCUAUCAGCUUGUUGGUGGGGUGAUGGCCUACCAAGGCGGUGACGGGUAGCCGGCCUGAGAGGGUGGCCGGUCACACUGGGAAUGAGACACGGCCCAGACUCCUACGGGAGGCAGCAGUGGGGAAUAUGGCACAAUGGGCGCAAGCCUGAUGCAGCGACGCCGCGGGAGGGAUGGAGGCCUUCGGGUUGUGAACCUCUUUCGCCAGUGAAGCAGGCCUGCCUCGUUUGUGGGUGGGUUGACGGUAGCUGGAUAAGAAGCGCCGGCUAACUACGUG